rnacentral:rRNA from 1 species
AGAGUUUGAUCAUGGCUCAGAACGUACGCUGGCGGCACGCCUAACACAUGCAAGUCGAACGAAGUAGCAAUACUUAGUGGCAGACGGGUGAGUAACAUGUAGGUAUCUGCCCUUUGGCCUGGAAUAACACGAGGAAACUUGUGCUAAUACCGGAUAAGUCUUUACGGAGAAAGCUUUAUGCACCAUUGGAUGAGCCUGCACUUGAUUAGUUUGUUGGUGGGGUAAUGGCCUACCAAGACUGUGAUCAAUAGCUGAUUUGAGAGGAUGAUCAGCCACAUUGGGACUGAGACACGGCCCAAACUCCUACGGGAGGCAGCAGUGGGGAAUCUUGCACAAUGGAGGAAACUCUUAUGCAGCGAUGCCGCGUGAGUGAAGAAGGCCCUUGGGUUGUAAAGCUCUUUCGUCGGGGAAGAAAAUGACUGUACCCGAAUAAGAAGGUCCGGCUAACUUCGUGCCAGCAGCCGCGGUAAUACGAAGGGACCUAGCGUAGUUCGGAAUUACUGGGCUUAAAGAGUUCGUAGGUGGUUGAAAAAGUUGGUGGUGAAAUCCCAGAGCUUAACUCUGGAACUGCCAUCAAAACUUUUCAGCUAGAGUAUGAUAGAGGAAAGCAGAAUUUCUAGUGUAGAGGUGAAAUUCGUAGAUAUUAGAAAGAAUACCAAUUGCGAAGGCAGCUUUCUGGAUCAUUACUGACACUGAGGAACGAAAGCAUGGGUAGCGAAGAGGAUUAGAUACCCUCGUAGUCCAUGCCGUAAACGAUGUGUGUUAGACGUUGGAAAUUUAUUUUCAGUGUCGCAGCGAAAGCGAUAAACACACCGCCUGGGGAGUACGACCGCAAGGUUAAAACUCAAAUGAAUUGACGGGGACCCGCACAAGUAGUGGAGCAUGUGGUUUAAUUCGAAGAUACGCGCAGAACCUUACCAACACUUGACAUGUUCGUCGCGACUUUAAGAGAUUAAAGUUUUCGGUUCGGCCGGACGAAACACAGGUGCUGCAUGGCUGUCGUCAGCUCGUGUCGUGAGAUGUUGGGUUAAGUCCCGCAACGAGCGCAACCCUCACUUUUAGUUGCCAUCAUUAAGUUGGGCACUCUGAAAGAACUGCCAGUGAUAAGCUGGAGGAAGGUGGGGAUGACGUCAAGUCCUCAUGGCCCUUACGUGUUGGGCUACACACGUGCUACAAUGGUAUCUACAACAGGAAGCAAGACUGCGAAGUUUAGCAAAUCCUUAAAAGAUACCUCAGUUCGGAUUGCACUCUGCAACUCGAGUGCAUGAAGCUGGAAUUACUAGUAAUCGUGGAUCAGCGUGCCACGGUGAAUGCGUUCCCGGGUCUUGUA